rnacentral:rRNA from 1 species
UACGAAGGGGGCUAGCGUUGCUCGGAAUCACUGGGCGUAAAGCGCACGUAGGUGGCUUUCUAAGUCAGGGGUGAAAUCCUGGAGCUCAACUCCAGAACUGCCUUUGAUACUGGAGAGCUUGAGUCCGGAAGAGGUGAGUGGAACUCCGAGUGUAGAGGUGAAAUUCGUAGAUAUUCGGAAGAACACCAGUGGCGAAGGCGGCUCACUGGUCCGGUACUGACGCUGAGGUGCGAAAGCGUGGGGAGCAAACAGG